UUCCUAAUUAAUUCUAAUUUAAUGCUACAGCUGUUGGAAUUCUUCACAAGAUGUCCUACGUGAAAUUUGCUACCUAGAAAAAUCAACUUUGCCCAAACUUGAUAAAAAUUGCUAUUUUUUACCCUUUUCACACCAGCAUGCUUUCAUUGUUGCUUGACUUCUUCACUAAAAAAUGUCCCGCAUCAGUUAGGGCUACUACCUAACAGAACUUUGUUGCACGUUAAUGUGCCUUUCACAUUUUGCUUCAGAAGUUACAUAAUGGCAUUGUGUUUUGAUCAUUUAUAGCUUAAUGCUGUGCAUGGCUAGAAGUUUAACGGUAGGAGAGGGAGAAGAAUGGAGGGGAAUUCCCCUUAUCAUCUGGUUUGGCUUUCAAAUUUUUCUUUGGGGUUGGGGUUGGGGGAGGGGAUGGGUUCUGGGUUCUCAAUCCUGUAUAUCAUAAUAGGGGCUCCCUGUCAUCAUUGCUGUGUUCUAUUACUUGAUGUUGGAGAAACUUUUAUGUAUGAAAGUUUUGAUAAAGUAGUUAAACUAUGAAAAACAUUCAAUAGAAAAUAAUAUCUUCUUCCUCAAUUCUAUUUGAUGUUUUGUAUUUUUGCGUGUCAUUAAGGUUGAAGCUUUUUCAUCAUCCUGGUGUUUUACAUAAGGGAAAAGAAAAAUAAAGAAAAUUACUUGAAUGUAUGAAGAUAAAAAGACAGUAAAAGAAAAUAGAAAGUUUUCUGACCUCCAUUUUAAUCAUCAUUAAAAAUGAUGAGAAACUUUUGUUAACUGACAAGUUUAUAUACAAUGAACAUGUUGGCAGAUAUGUCUUACGUUUUUCUGCUGAUUCAUACAAGAUUAGAGAAUAGAGAUCUGAGGAUGAUCCUUUAACUGGUUGUAAGUGGAAGUGUGACCCUUAAAACUAGAGAGAUACAUGAUGGUGUAAUGGACUUUUCUUUCUGUGUCUGAUCUAGGUUGACUGUUGGAUGUGUUUCUCCUUUGUGUAUAUGUUUUAUUGUAUUAUCUUGUAAUGAAAUUUUGGGUUCUGAAUUGCAGGUAAUAUAAGACAUUUAUGGAUGCAAAAGAAGCUCGCACUGAGGUUUCUCAGGAGCAGGCCAGGGAGUUGCUCAUUGGAAUAUCUUACUCCCUACCAGAUAAGGUUCAGAAUUCAGAAGUGCAGGAAAUUUUGACGGGUAAAGAGAGUGUUUCAAGGACAAACAGCGAUGGAGUGGAUAAGUAUAGAUCUGAACUGAUUUCUAUCUCUUACUGCCCAUCUCCUGAUAUGACACCAUCACCUGUGGCAUUAGGAAAACCAUGAUGGUUAGCAUGGAUCUCUUCUUUUCCCUACUUUUCUAAUAGGCUGCAAGGACUCUUUUAUCUUGUCAUAAAAGUUUAUUGUAACGUGUUCUCCUGGUUUGGUGUGUUGUUGAGCUUGCUAUGGUUUAAAUGUUUUUGCAUCCAAUGUUGGGUUGCUGUCUGUUGAUGUCAAUAGUAAGGGGAAGAUAUGAAGCAUCUUUUCCAUACGUAUCUAACGUGUAAUAUUACAGUAAAGAUAUGUUAUAAUUGGGGAUUUGGUCUUAUUUUAUCCCUGAUACUUUCUUUUUAUUGUUCACAUUGAAAAGCUAUUUUCUUGCUUUUACUAAGAUACAUCAUGAUUCUGCAUAGAAUUGUUUGAUUGUAAUAGCUGCAGUUCCCUUCUCUCUCUGAUUGGAGUACAUGAGGUGAGAGCAUAUUUUCUUUUUUUUUCCUUCUUUCACUAAAAAUUGAAUUGAAUUUUAGCAUUAAUCAGAAAUGUUCAUUCUUUCCUUGCUUAAUGAUUUGACCACAACGGUGGUUUUGAGGAUUAUCCAUUCCCCUUUCCCUUUAGUUUCCCCAUUAUAGUGUAAAAUUUGCUUGACAGGUUUAGUAGAUGAUUCAUCAGACGGCUGUUUGCGAGCAGAGCUAUAAAAUGUAGAAAGAAUAAUUAAUUUAAUUUGUGUUGUUUUUUAACUAUAUAUAUAUAUAUGCCUUGUAUUAUGAUAAUGGUUAAGAUUAGGAAUAAUCACAUUCACCAAACAAUGUAUGGAAGAUGCAUUGGGGAUAAA
rnacentral:misc_RNA from 1 species